GAAAUGCGAUAAGUAAUGUGAAUUGCAGAAUUCAGUGAAUCAUCGAAUCUUUGAACGCACAUUGCGCCCGCCAGUAUUCUGGCGGGCAUACCUGUUCGAGCGUCAUUUCAACCAUCAAGCCCCCGGCUUGUGUUGGGGACCUGCGGCUGCCCGCAGGCCCUGAAAAACAGUGGCGGGCUCGCUGUCACACCGAGCGUAGUAGCAUACAUUCUCGCUCAGGGCGUGCUGCGGGUUCCGGCCGUUAAACGACCUUCAUAACCCAAGGUUGACCUCGGAUCAGGUAGGAAGACCCGCUGAACUUAAGC
rnacentral:misc_RNA from 1 species